AGUAUACUCACCGCUGCGCAGCGUCCCGGUUGGCGGGCCGCGUAGGCCGGGCCGCCGCGGAAAGGAAAGGCCGGAGCCCUCCGGCUCCCUCCCCUGGGACACUUCCUGCACCGCUCUAGGACCGAGGAGGUCUCCUCAUCUCAGUGGUUCGCUUCCCCGCCUCCUGGCCGAGGUGUACGCGGGGGGGUGACAUCCGACACCCCCGGCCCGCCUGGACCGCCCCGCCCCGCCCCGCUCCGUGCUCUCCCGGCCUGGGCCCGGGGCCCGGGCUUUAGCUUUGUGGGCCUUCCUAGCGGGCUCGGGAUGCGCGCGCGCGCCCCGGCGGGACCCGGGCGCUGGGGGCCAGUUCGCGCGGCCACCAGCCAGGGAGGCCGGCCUGGGGCUUUGCUCUUCUCUGCUCCUCUUGUGUGGGCGCAGGGAAGGGCUGGUCUGGCGGCGCUGGCGAAAUGCCAGAAUUGGGAGGAGGAGGGAUGAGGUGUAAGGGGAUCUCCCAGUGACCAUUUGCAUCCCGUGUGUGCUGUUGUGCCCCAAUCCCUUCCAGCCGCAAUUCCAUUUCAAAGCCAACGCUGCCAGAGCCACCCAAAUCGGUAGGACUGGAGAAAUGCAGACCCAGCGAUCCACGGUGCUCGCCGAAGCAUCGGCCCGCGGCUUCGUGGCAUGGAGAUGAUCUACGAUUUCUCUGUUUAAGGAAGACUGUAGCACUCUGGGUCCCUCUGAGCACCAGGAUAGUCCUGGUACAUGGAAGGAAGUCACCCUUAAAGAAGGUGGUUUGAUAGAGACACCCCACCACCGGCAGACUUCGUGCUUCCGUUUCCUUCUAAUAAUUGGGACUGGGACGAUCUCUUCCAACUAGUAGAACCUGGAAUAGGGACUAAUAGACUGGAAUCAGAGCACCUGUGUUAAAUCACACCCAUCAAGGCGCAGUCAGGUGAUCUAAGGCCUCUGCGUGACCUCUCUGUACUUCAGGGAUCGCAUUUGGAUGCGUGUGCAAGCUGUGCUGUAGCCACCUCAGGUCCUGAAUCUUUAGGACUUGCUGGAGUUCAUUGCUGGUCUAUUUUGGCAGGUACAGGAUACUCAAAGCAUUUAUCAUUCUCCUUGCUGUAUACAAUUGGUUCUAUUCUUUUGUAUGACUCCAAGAGGUUAAGUUACAUGUUCCUCUGAUGUUUGUGAUCCUGUGCGUCUAGCUGCCUCCGUAGUGUCACUGAUCUUACCUGAGCUCUCAUACUCAUUCUCUCUCACUUCUCUUCCCUCCUUCUGGUCCUCUUGCUUCCCUCCAGCCUCCUUUAGAACUCAUUAUCUUUUAGAGUAAUACCACCCUUAACCAGUAGUUUGACUCCCCACUCCCUCAAAGGGGACUCAUUUGUCUCACUAGUGCUUAUACAUGUGUUACUGUAAUAAAGUAAGUUUUUUAAAUGU
ensembl:processed_transcript 4933439C10Rik RIKEN cDNA 4933439C10 gene